ACAAGACAGAGUUGUUUGGGCUUGAGACUUGAAAAGCAGAGGGCAGAGGGCAUUGAACCAUGAACGUUGAACGCCCGAAUUGAAACUUCGGUGCGGAACUUUUUAUAUUUUUACGGUGUUAAUUGGUUGUCACUUAGAAAUGGAAAAUAAACGACAGAAAAAGUCUUGGACAGAGCUGAAAACGAUCGUCAGUGAGUUGAGACAACAGCUGUCUGAUCUCUCAGCUGUCAUACCAACAUUCAUUUCAUUUCGGUCUCUGGGAGAUGGUAGAACGAGAAUAUUCUUUCUAAGCACCUCCCCGAACAGUUAUGAAACGACUUUGCUGUAUGCUGAUGUGUCCACCUCUGACUCAAAGACUGACAAGAUUCAGUGGCACCCCGUGAUCGAGCCGAACUUCCACUUCAACCUUGGCAGUCGCUAUUCGAGGGAGGAACAGCUGAUGUUGGAGCGGAAGCGACUCGCCUCGUGGGGAAUCACCUCCUAUCAGCUCGACGCACACUCGGGCAAGCUCGUGUUUCCGGCCGCCAGCACACUCUUCCAGUGUGUCGACACUUCUCAUAUGAGCGGUCCCAUGUUCCCAGCUGAGUUGAGAACGAACUCGAGCGGGCCGAAAAUGUUGCCCGAAAUAUGCCCAACAAAUCCAGAUCUAGUCGCCUAUGUCUGUAAUGCUGACAUUUGGGUCACACACACUAUAUCAGGUAGUACGGAAAGACUGACUUACGCGCACAAAGGUGGCCGAAACAUGGCCGACGAUCCUCUGACGGCGGGAAUUCCCUCUUACGUCAUUCAGGAGGAGUUCAGUCGCUACGAGGGGUACUGGUGGCAGCCCGUCUCUAAAGAUAAAGUGUAUAGGAUAUUGUAUGAAGAAACUGAUGAAAGUGAAGUGAAACUGUACAGUUUUCCUUCCUCCAAUGCUCACCUCAACGGCGAAAUUGAACAGUACAGGUUUCCAAGUGCUGGAUCGCCAAACGCCAAAUCGCAUCUGAAGAUUGUUCAGUUCGAAUUGAACGAAGUAUUCCAGAUAAUCAAUCUGCAAACGCUAGUAUUGCCCAGGCCUUUGUUCACCGUCUUUCCAGACCUCGAGUAUCUAGUCAGAGUUGGCUGGCUAUCCGAUGGAGAAAAUAUAUGGCUCCAGAUGGUAGACAGGAAGCAAGUGAGACUGGACCUGUUCAUUCUAUCGGUGAAGAACUUUGUGGAGCCCCCUCGGAAUAUCUGGAAUCCCCCUCAGACCAACUCCGCCAGUCCGGCCCCUCUACCCCCUCCACCAGUCAAGUAUGUGUUCACACAAGAAUCCGACGUAUGGAUUAAUGUCCAUGAUUUAUUGUACAUAUUUCCCACGGUAGAAAAUGAUAAGAUAACUAUGAUUUGGUCCAGUGAGGAGGCUGGAUACAGACACUUGUACUUAGUUACCGUCUCCUACACAUCACAGAUUGUUGAAGACUCACGUGACCUGUUCGUAGUGCCGAGCUUCAAAUCGCAGGUAGCGCUGACUAGCGGUGACUGGGAGGUACUAGGCAGCGACCUGUGGGUGGACGAGGCGAGGCAGCUGGUCUACUUCCUCGGACUGCGGGAGUCGCCCCUCGAGAAGCACCUCUACGUCGUCUCCUUGCAGCGACCCGGCGAGAUACGCCUGCUGACAAGGCCCGGCUUUUCCUACAGUAUUGAUCUGAAUGACGAAUGUACGAUAUGUGUAGCCACAUAUAGUAAUAUUCAAAAGUUGCCCGCCUGCCAGGUAUUCAGGAUACAACACACAGAUUGGACUGUCGAAGGUGUUAGUCUCACUCCUAUAGGAUAUCUACAGGAGCCAACAGUACCUGAAAUAGACCUUCACUGUCCAGAACUGUUUAGUCAUAAGAUAUCUUCUGGAGAUACGAUUUUCUCCAUGGUGUUCAGGCCUCACUGCUAUAAGGAAGGCGAAAAAUAUCCAACAGUAUUAAACGUUUACGGUGGACCUGAAGUGCAGCUAGUUUCAAAUACUUUUAAGGGAAUGCGUCACCUAAGAAUGCACAUGCUAGCAUCUCAGGGUUAUUGUGUGGUGAUGAUAGAUUCCAGAGGAUCUCAGCAUAGAGGACUGCAGUUCGAGAGUCAUAUCAAAGGAAGAAUGGGAACAGUAGAACUGGAUGACCAAGUGGAGGUUCUGCAGUGGCUGGCCGAGACGACGGGAAUGAUUGACAUGGAGAGAGUCGCCAUUUUGGGCUGGUCCUACGGCGGAUAUCUCAGUCUAAUGGGUCUGGCGCAGUUCUCACAUAUAUUCAAAUUGGCAAUAGCUGGUGCACCUGUGACGUCAUGGUGCUCCUAUGAUACCGGAUACACGGAACGAUACAUGGGACUGCCCCAGGAGAAUAAAUUCGGCUACAGGCAAGGAUCUGUCUUCAACUACAUCAAAAUGUUCCCUGAAGAUGAGAAUCGGUUGCUGAUAAUCCACGGCCUAAUAGAUGAGAACGUUCACUUUGAUCAUACGAGCAGUUUGAUAGACGCAUUGGUCAAAGCCGGAAAGCCCUAUCAACUCCAGGUGUAUCCCAACGAGAGACAUAGUCUACGGAACCUGGAUGCCAGCAAACAUUACGAAACAAUGCUCCUGCUCUUCUUACAAAAUCACUUGUAAUUAGUUUUAAUUAAUGUAUUGUGUGUGUGUGUGUGUGUGUGUGUGUGUGUGUGUGUGUGUGUGUGUGUGUGUGUAAGUAUCAAAUCUGUAUUACACUGGCAAAUUAUGUUCUGUAGAACUUCUUCGAUUUGAGAUUGUGAACAGCUUUCCUCAAUUAUGUCCUUACAUUGUACAGAGUGUCUCACAAAAGGUUUAUUAGACCUAGUGCCGGUUGCACAAAAGUCGGUUAGAUUUUAAUCGUGAUUAAUCCCACAAGAACCAAUCAGAGAAGUCGUCUUUUCAAAAAAGCCUUCUUUGAUUUGUUCUUCUGAAAUUAAUCACAGUUAAAAUUUAAUCGGCUUUUGUGCGACGGGGCCAUAGAUUCUGAAUGCAAUUUGCAACAAAAAAUGUCCAGUAAGGCUCAACUCACACUUAGGCGACUCAGGUCGAGAAGAGACUCGACUCUAGUCGAGAGCAUGUGUUUUCAAAAAA
rnacentral:misc_RNA from 1 species